CGCUGGCGGCAUGCCUUAACACAUGCAAGUCGAACGGCAGCACGGGUGCUUGCACCUGGUGGCGAGUGGCGAACGGGUGAGUAAUAUAUCGGAACGUAUCCAAUAAGUGGGGGAUAACUAAUCGAAAGGUUAGCUAAUACCGCAUACGCCCGUACGGGGAAAGCAGGGGAUCUUCGGACCUUGCGUUAAUGGAGCGGCUGAUAUCUGAUUAGCUAGUAGGUGAGGUAAAGGCUCACCUAGGCUUCGAUCAGUAGCUGGUCUGAGAGGACGACCAGCCACACUGGAACUGAGACACGGUCCAGACUCCUACGGGAGGCAGCAGUGGGGAAUUUUGGACAAUGGGCGCAAGCCUGAUCCAGCCAUUCCGCGUGAGUGAAGAAGGCCUUCGGGUUGUAAAGCUCUUUCAGGUGGAAAGAAAACGCAUGGGUCAAUACCCUGUGUGGAUGACGGUACCAUCAGAAGAAGCACCGGCUAACUACGUG
rnacentral:rRNA from 1 species